GCCUUGGUGGAGCCGGAGGACUCGGGGCCGGUGGACUGGGAGCCGGAGGACUGGGGGCCGGUGGACUGGGGGCCGGAGGACUGGGAGCUGGUGGACUGGGGGCUGGUGGAGCGAUCCCUGGUGCUGUAGGCCUUGGAGGUGUGUCCCCUGCUGCAGCUGCUAAGGCUGCCAAAUAUGGUGCUGCUGGCCUUGGAGGUGUCCUAGGAGCCAGGCCAUUCCCAGGCGGAGGAGUGGCAGCAAGACCUGGGUUUGGACUUUCUCCUAUCUACCCAGGUGGUGGUGCUGGGGGCCUGGGAGUUGGUGGAAAACCCCCGAAGCCCUAUGGAGGAGCCCUUGGAGCCCUGGGAUAUCAAGGUGGGGGCUGCUUUGGGAAAUCUUGUGGCCGGAAGAGAAAGUGAUCUUCUGGGGACCCCUGACUCGCGACCUCAUCAACGUUGGUGCUACUGCUUGGUGGAGAAUGUAAACCUUCUAUGACCACCCCCCCUACACCAUCCCCCCGACCCCCACCUGGGAGGGGACAACAGGCCAGUGGCCUUGGAAAACCCACAGGACAAGGAAAUCAGACAGCAGCAGCCACGUACCCCUAACUAGAAAACCCCCCCCACAUCAGAGGCCAGGGCGGGUGUCCCAUCUCUUCCCACCCAGGAGCUCCCCCACACAGUCUCCAUCUCCAAGAGAAAUUGGUGCUACAUGUUGGUGCUUCUUCUUUGUGGGGGGAGGGAGGAGGGAAGGGUAUCCCAGGAGGGACUCCCCCCUUCCCUGAAGCCCCUCUAUUAAGAUGGUGCACACCUUCGCUGGGCAGUCCCGCCUCCCCCUGCCCACCAGGAGCCAUUCCUGGCUGCAUCCCAUUGGUACCCAAGUACCAGAAGCCUCGACAUUAGAUUUGGUAACACGAUCCCUCUCUCUUUGGGUCCCCUCGUCCCUGACUCCCAUUAACAAUAGCUACUUCCCACACCUGGGAUACCUUGAAGUCCGACGGCUUCUCACACUGGGAAUAGCUCCCUUGUUCUUGUGGAAUCCACCUGCCAACCACCCAUCCACGGACUCAUCCAUCCUUCCAUCCGUCAUCCAUCCAUCCGUCCGUCCGUCCGUCCUGACUGCCUAGUGCCACUGUCUGGCUAGGCACACCCACUAUCAACCUGGUUCACCUGUCAUGGCAGCCUGUACCCACCCCCGCCACACACCCUGAUGCUGGCCUAGGGUGCAAAGGGUUGUGCGGGCUGGUCCUUCCCACAUGCAGUACUGUAAUCCCCGUCCCUCCUGGAGCCACUCUAUUACAGAGCAUGUCUCACCAACCCCACCUCUUUGUGUUUCGCUGUGAUAGAUCAAUAAAAUAUUUUAUUUUUUGUCCUGGA